rnacentral:rRNA from 1 species
UAGGGAAUCUUCCACAAUGGGCGCAAGUCUGAUGGAGCAACGCCGCGUGAGUGAAGAAGAUCUUCGGAUCGUAAAACUCUGUUGUUAGAGAAGAACACGAGUGAGAGUAACUGUUCAUUCGAUGACGGUAUCUAACCAGCAAGUCACGGCUAACUACGUGCCAG